AACGAACGCUGGCGGCAUGCCUAACACAUGCAAGUCGAACGAGACCUUCGGGUCUAGUGGCGCACGGGUGCGUAACGCGUGGGAACCUGCCUUUAGGUUCGGAAUAACUCAGAGAAAUUUGAGCUAAUACCGGAUGAUGUCUUCGGACCAAAGAUUUAUCGCCUUUAGAUGGGCCCGCGUUGGAUUAGCUAGUUGGUGGGGUAAAGGCCUACCAAGGCGACGAUCCAUAGCUGGUCUGAGAGGAUGAUCAGCCGCACUGGGACUGAGACACGGCCCAGACUCCUACGGGAGGCAGCAGUGGGGAAUAUUGGACAAUGGGCGAAAGCCUGAUCCAGCAAUGCCGCGUGAGUGAUGAAGGCCUUAGGGUUGUAAAGCUCUUUUACCCGAGAUGAUAAUGACAGUAUCGGGAGAAUAAGCUCCGGCUAACUCCGUG
rnacentral:rRNA from 1 species